UUUUCCAUUUCUAUUCUCAUUUGGCUUUAGCCACUGUCCUAACCUGCCAGAAAAAAGAUGGGUAGUAAAAACAAUAUUACUUUUAAGAGAGCAAAUGCAGUACACAGUUCCACACUUUCAUCCAGUUUAUUCUUUUUUCUUUGCCCUUUUGGUUAUCUCUGAAGACUGCUUCUGUUUCCAUUGUUUCAUCCUUUAGCAUUCACAUAUCAGAGCAAUAAGUAUUUCAUUACUGGUUUAUCUGUCCAGAGGCUUGAGAAGCGGUAACAAUUAACCCUCCCUUCACAGUGAUUGAUACAGGCUUUGCUUUCAAUUUGUUCCACUACACAGAUCAUGAAAUUCUGAAUGCAAUCAUCCUCAUUGACCUACACUUUCAAACACACGGCUACAAUGAGACGAAAGUAAUUAUUAAAAGGAACACAGGACUACUGAGAUCUGAAACAAAGUCUUUUAAAAAUCUGUUAGAUGACCUUCUGCUAAAAUUGGCAAAUUUUGAUGUUAAGGAAAAUGAUAGCUUUGUGGCCCUUUCUGGAAAUAUUCAAUACAAGCUGAUCAAUGUAUAUUGUGGUGAUCAUACUGGCUGCAGAAUGUACUUCCAAAAUGCAGAAAGCCAUUUUAAAGCAGUUACAAACUAAAGGUAAACUGUCAAUACUGUAGUUUCAUCUGCCUAAAAUUUUCUUCAAGAAAAUUAAACUUUCUGAUCUGUGUAUAAGGAACAAGCAUUAACCAAAGCAAAGAAUGUAGGUUGGAAAAGCAAUCUUUUUACUCUGUAAGAAGAGUUUCAUACCUGAGUCCUACGCCUUCCCUUUAGGUGAAGAUUCACAGUAAGAAAUGAACACAUUUUUCACAAAGUCUGAAAAAUAGCUUCAAAUAAAUAUUAAUCUACUGCAAUCGAUAUAUGAGGAAUGGAGAGGGGCGAGUGGAGACUGGUGACUACAGAACUAUAUUAAAACAAGGGUUGCAGUUAAAGAAAAUCAGGGCAGAAAGCGAGGCAGCAGGCCUGAGGCUCUAAUCGCAGAACGGAGUGAUGGGAUGAACCAAUACUGCAUGGAUUAGCAAUGAAUUAUUCUGAACCGUAAUCAUAUGCCUGCACAGAAGAGAGGCAAAAACUAGCCAUUACUCAUAAACUGAGCUGCUGAUUUCUUGAGGGGGGUGGGGAGAAUGAGAAUGAAUUCAUAUGUUAAACUAACUCAGAAUAAUGAAAACCUAAAGAUGUGGUUACAUGUCAAGUUACAUUCUAUUUUUAAUGUCUGCCAUAUACUACAUAAUAUGGGAUAUUUACAGUACAAACUAUAAAGUGCGUGAUUCAAGUAGGAUUAAUCCAGCCCUUUCUUCUAAGAUUAGGAUGGAAGACAGUAUUCCAUUCUCUAUUUUUUCUUGUCCAACAAAACCAUUUAUGAGUAACUUUGAUAUGCCCAAAUAUAAAAUAUUUAAGUGUUUAGUUAGAAGAAGAAACAGCAUUCAAGGAAUUAACUUCCUUUGGAUAAUCCUAAAAAUUCAUACCAAAGAAAAUUCAAAUGUUAGAACUAAUUGUGUUAGGAAGAAAAAAAAAAUCAAAACUGCUGGUAGCAAGAGAUUCCUGAGAUUCUUAUGAACAGACUGUUUAAAUGAAGAGCACUUUAAUCAGUAGAGGAAUCCUCACGUUUCUAAUGUCUUGCUGUGCAUUCUGCAGGUUAUAGUAGCAGCUGGUAGAGGUCAUAUAUCUUUUGUGAGCAUCCCAAAAAGGCUCACUGCCAGACUGUUAAAUUAUGAAUAAGCAAUGAACAAAAGAAUGCAGAUACGGUGGUGACAAGAUAAUCCAAGCAAAUUUAUCUAUGACAAAUUUCACAGGAUUAACAAAUUACAUUUACACAGAACAAUAAAAAUGUGCAAAAAAAAAUGAUGAGCCUACUUUUCCUUAAAGCAUUAGGAAAACAAAAAAGUCACCAAUCCACUGCAUAUAUUUAAAUUUAACUUGAUCUAAAGUAAGACAUUUAUAAUAUCUUUGUAACAUUUCCCCAUUUCAGAUAGACAUAUAUAAACAUGGAAUAUCUGGUUUAUAUUUUAUAUAUGUUCCAUUAUAAACAAGAACAUAUAUACAGCUUAUAUAUAAACUAUGUGUACAGCAUAAAGAAAUCUCCUACACUAAACAAAAGUCAUCCCAUUCAUAUAUAUGAAUAGAAUGUAUAUGCUUUUAAGAAAUAGAUUUUGAGGGACAAAUUAUUUNNNNNNNNNNNNNNNNNNNNNNNNNNNNNAAAUGCACCCUCAGUGCAAUACACAUUAGUUACUAAAAUACCUUAUUCACUGAUGUCGCCAUUUUCUAGGACCAGAGAGAGAUGUCCUGCAAAUAGUUUCAAUAAUUCCACUUACUCCCAUCAAAAUGUUUCAAUCUUUCUGAGUAAAGCCCUUCUUAAUGAAGUUUAGAACUAGUAUCCUUUUCUGCAGUGUUACAAUAGCAGAAAGGAAAAUUCAUAGUUUGGGAUGGGUGGGAAAUUGAUUUCAGCUAUAUUCACUAACAAUGACCUUUAAUCCAAUAUUAAAAAAAUUGUAAAAAAAUUGUUUUUAUAAAUUUUACAAAUGAAAGAAGCCCCAGUAUAUCAGAAGUAACAAGAUACAACAUAUGAUUCCAUAAAGUGGUCUUAAAAUGCUAUAUAGCACUACUUUCCAAAAUACAUGAUAAACAUUUUAGUUUUCAUGUUAUAUACAACCUCAGUACCCAAGUCAGAUCGCUUUACUUCUGCAUUAACAUACUGAUGAUAAUAAAAUACUGUGACCAGACAUAACUUAUUUUAAGAUGAUCUGAAUCCUGUUUUAAAUUUUGUAGCCUUAUGUUUUUCACUUAUAUUUCCUACUGACUGCUGCUUUUUAUCUUCAACAUUUUAGCAAAACAUCUCUCCAAAUGAGCCCUUUCCAAGAGAUCACAAGGCAACCGAUUCUUUAUGUAAACAAGAAAUUUUCUGAAUGUAAAAGUGAAUAUUUAAUUAAGUUACACAAGCAAAAUACUCAGCUCUUUCAACCCAAAUACUCAAGUGCUGCUUAUCUAGUAUUUUCAAGGCCUGAAAUUCCUACUGCACAUCUUAUUUUUUUUAAGAAGCUAUUUGGUUGACAGUAUUACCUCUAAAAUCAAAAAACAAAAAAAAAAACAAAAAACAAAUGUGGUAUGCUUGCCUAGUACCUCAAAUCUAGCAAACAUUCUACAGUGGGCAGUGAAGGAGUCAGAUGCUACAAAGUUUCCUAAAGUAUAGCUUUUGUCAAAGAACUGUUGCAUACCAGAGCAACUUCUGUGAUGCCUGCCAUAAGAGACAUUAAAAUGUUACCAAGACUUCCUCUUCUUGAAGACACCACAAGUGUGUGUGUCUGGGAAGGGAGUGGGGAGAACUACUCGAUGAUAACUUAUCAUUUAUGUAUUUAUUGUGGCCCACUUUUAACAUGUUUUUAAUCAAACAAGUUAAUUAAUAUAUUUAAAGCCCUUAGAAUAGUACCUGGCACACAGUACUAUGCUUGCUGUUCUUAUUACAGUGACAGAUAACUUGGCAAGAAGCCAACUUCUAAGAGUCCUUAUAUAUUGCAAAAGACAAUAUCCAGAAAUAGUCAGGUAUUAAAGUGUGUUAUUCAGAAAGCCUACGAGGUUGUUUCUAUACACUCAGUGGCAAAACUACCCCAAAAUAAAAAUGUCUCCACUGUAGUCAUUAGACAAACUGUGGCACACUCUGAGGCAUGGAAACAUGAAUGGAAGAGGUCCCUGAAUACUUACAGUCUAUGACCAAAGAGGCCUAUGUACACGGCAAAAUGCUGCUUCUGAAAUCAUUCAGUACAAAAAUCUGCCCCAAAAUAUAGAGAGCUGUGGAGCCUGUCCACAAAACUACUGGAAUGUUAAAGGGUGGAGUGAGAAUAAUUUAAAUAUUGAUUCUUCCACUAACUUUAUAAAUGCUGUAUUUCUGAACUUUCCAAACAUCUAAUGAAGGACCGAGAAGCAGAGAUCUAGUUCACGACCCAUAGCACACACAGUCUUUCUGCCAAAGGAACUCUCUGGCAUCGACUCAGAAAUUCCUGACUCUAGAAAAUCCAAAAAUGCAGGCGCCUCUACACUGUGGUAAAGGUAUAUUUCUAUGGAGACAAACCUGAUUUAAAUCUCUAACUCUACCACCUCCUUUGCGAAAAUAAGCGAAACUAAUGAGAAAAAUCACUAUGAAACACAUAAUAGCCAAUAAAUCUUUAUUAUUAUCAUAUAUAAUCUAUUUUCAUUUUAAAAUCUCAUCAUAGAUCAUUUUAAAAAUUUUUCUCUGAUUUCAUUUACAUUACAUAGCAUGUUUCUUUCUUUACAAUAUUAUACAAGCUGAGUAUCUAUCCCUUCAGAACACUAAGCUAACAAGUCAAAGAAGAUGAAGAGAUUUAUUUAUAAGUCUAUGAAUUCUGUACUUCCUACUCCUCCAAAAAAGGGGUAUUUUCUUGUCCUUGAUAAUAUUUUGUGUAUUAAGAAACAUCUACAACUGGAGUAGCUGCUCUUCCGGGGUUUACCAUUCUCUACUAUUCCUGGAACAAGUAAUGAUGGCCCAUUGCAGAGGUUUGAUAAACAAAGCUGAAUUAAUGAACCAAUCAAUAAUUACAGUCAAGGCCCAGAAGCACUUUGGACAACAGUAAUGUGUGAUUCUCAUCUUGCCUCUCAUGAUUUUUGCAUAAGACCGCAAGCAUUCCAAUCAAUUCACCAAAACAUUAUACUUUAGACAUGUAUACAGACAACUACAAGUAUUGUUUAAUCUUGUCACUGCCCUAGUAAUCUCAGAUAUAGCAGUAGUAACUUUCCUCUUACUAAGCCAUAUUCCGCUUUGCACUGCACCAUUACUACUAUUACUAGAAAUUAUCCUAACUAUGUAAGAUUCUAGCAAACUUAAUAGUGCAAACAUCCUAUUCACACCAAUGGGGCCCACACAGUAAAAGUACCAUUCAGUUACAUCUGCUUUAGUACACUACUUAAUGAGGAAGGGGGGGGCACUAUUUACUUUGAAAGUACUAACAUUAUUAAAUGAGAAGCAAACAUAAUUGAAUUUUCCCAUAAAUGCAGCAAAUUCUUAGCUACUCAUACUAAAGAUUUAAAUAUUUAAAGUUCCACAUAUUCCAUUAUAUGCAACUUUGGUAGCACCUAAAUUUUAAAAUUAAUAAAACGAUCAACUAAAAUUGUCAACAUGCUAAUCCUUCCACUAAGUUUCAGCCUUAUCCAUUGUAAGCAAUUAAGAAAUGUCUAUGAAACACUUAAAGUUAGAUUCUAAGCCAAGAGCAAUGCAGAAUUUUUUAAAAAUUAAGUGAUGAAAUGCUAUGAUAUAGAAAAAGUAGCCAUAUAAACAUAACAGGAAAGGGAUUUGUUCUGAUCCCAUGUGUGCUUAAUUUUCUUUAAGUUUAGUGAGUGGUAUUUUGCAUAGGAAAUAGCAUCAGUAGAAUUGCAGGAAAAAUUAGAAAACAAAAAUAAACUGUCUAAGAUUCACACUGAGGUCAUUAUUAAUAGUAAAGCACUUAAGGAAGUUUAUACAGAACAUUACCAGGAGCAAUUUAGAUACCUCUGUGACAUAGCCUCUGCAAAUAACUCACAAAACAUAAAAUUCAACAGCUUAAAAAAUAACUAAAUAAAUGCAACACUGCCUAAAUCCUCCCCCUAAAAUGCUGCUUUACAAAAGCAUAUAAAGCUAUAUAUACCCUGUCAUAGAAAACCUUACCACAUAGCAGAGGACUCUGGACAUCAGGUCCUAUUUCAAACAGAUGCAAUUUUUACAUGCCAGUGGAUUCCAGACUAAGAUUUGGGCCAGAGCAAAAGAGUUGAGGGGUUCAUGGAAAUUUUGGCCCACAAAAUAGAUCUAUUGUAUACAGGAGUAACCACUGUGUAGAAGAAUUUCAGGGAAAAUUCAAAUGUCAUUUUGCUAAAAAAUAUCAAGCUGUUCCCACUUGCAGAUUAUAUUUAAAUUGCAAUAUAAUUCUUACCAGCUGAGAGAGACAUUAAUUUCACAUAACUUUCAGUCAAAAAUUAAAGUCAUAUUUUUAAGAAUAUAUGAAGGCACAGGGACCAAAACUUUACUCACAAUACCACAAGGUGCUGAAAAAUAACUCAUGUAACUUUUUUUUUGAAACCAAAAGCAUCAAAUAAUGUUGGAUUCAAGUUGCUUAUUGUAACAAAUCAAAUCUAGUAAUUGGCACAUUACAGAUUUGAAGUAGCUAUGUGUCUUUCAAUUUAUAAAUCAGAAAUUGGAAAUAUGAAAAGAUGCUGUAAUGUGGGAGGGUCCUACAUAAUAAAGGUCAUUAUAACUCCUGGCUCCAGAGCUAUACAAUCUAAUAUCCUCUCUGGUGGUUCUAUGAUAUGCCCAUGCAUUACAGUUCUUGUUGACAGUCUGUUGCCUUGGAAAUAUUUCAUUAUUUCAGUUUUUCCAUUUGUAGACCCUUGGCCUUGUGAUAUGAAGGCCAUCCUAUUUCAUAUUUUCGAUUAUCAUUUAAGCAAUCUUGUGGGGCUAUUUAUAUAUAAGCAAGUGUUAGACAACGCAUAUCAUCAUUUAUCACUCUGUGUUCAAGCUUACACUGAAAAAAGAAUUACCUCCAAAAAAGUCUCCACCACCUUUACUUUUUAAACCAAAAGCCCUGUGCUACUGGAAUAUGCUUUGCAAACCAGCAUGGGCAUAUCACAUGCUUGACACUUCUGUCUAAUUUUCUUGAUUUUUACAUCCACAUAGUGGAAAAAUUCUGUGGUAGUGUUAUAUAAUUUGUAGCCUAUUGGAGUUGUUGUCGUUUUUUUAAUCAACAAGUUUAAACUUACAAGGUUUUCAACUUGUUCUUUCAGGCUCCAAAGAGACACUUUCUGUGUGUAUGAGUCGGAGAAAUUUAAGAAAUACUAAAUAUCAAUGUAAGACAUUAUCAAAAAAAGUUUUUUU
rnacentral:lncRNA from 1 species